UUACGGUCAAAUCACGCUGAAACACCGGUUCUCGUACGAUCACCGAAGUUAAGCAGCGUAGAGCCAGGUCAUACUUAGAUGGGGGACCGCUUGGGAACACCUGGUACUGUAAG
rnacentral:rRNA from 1 species